GUAACUGAUCAUGAGGCCCAACAUGCAUGAGUCAGCCUGAGUCUCCUUCCUCAGUAGGAUGGAGCCUACUGUACUCAGCAGAGAGUCAGAUCAUGACCCUCCUGCCUCAAGUUCCCAAGUGCUAUGAUUAUAGACAUGAGCCACCACACCUGACCACAGAUACAUAAGGUGAGUGGUCACGUGAAACUGACGAAAUAAAUUUUCAACUUCUCUGCCAGCCAAAGAACACCAAGGAAUGCUAGGAAGCCACCAGAAGGCAGGCAGAGGAACCUCCCCAAUGUCACCACAGUACUGCAUCUCUACAUUGAUCUUAAGGAAAUUGUAGCAAACUGUAAGUGUUGUCUCCUCUUCCUGUCCUCAUUGUCCAUCUACAUAAUAAAAAUAUUUUGUU